UUGUCCGUAAUUACUGGGUGUAAAGGGAGCGUAGGCGGGACGGUAAGUCAGGUGUGAAAUAUACGUGCUCAACAUGUAGACUGCACUUGAAACUGCUGUUCUUGAGUGAAGUAGAGGUAAGCGGAAUUCCUAGUGUAGCGGUGAAAUGCGUAGAUAUUAGGAGGAACAUCGGUGGCGAAGGCGGCUUACUGGGCUUUUACUGACGCUGAGGCUCGAAAGCGUGGGGAGCAAACAGGAUUAGAUACCCUGGUAGUCCACGCUGUAAACGAUGAUUACUAGGUGUGGGGGGACUGACCCCUUCCGUGCCGCAGUUAACACAAUAAGUAAUCCACCUGGGGAGUACUACCGCAAGGUUGAAACUCAA
rnacentral:rRNA from 1 species